rnacentral:lncRNA from 1 species
AAUUUUGUCAAAUUACUCAAAAUAUAGCUCAAAAUACGACUACUAGUAAAUUGGAUCACUUACUACUCUUAGAAUUAAAGUAUUGACUUCAACUUCCAAUAUCUCCUUUAUCUAAACUUAAAAUUCAUCAAGAAGUACACAAAAAUUCUAGUAAAAAAAUUAUUCUCUUCAAUUCCAGUCAUCAAUCCUUCAUUACUUUUUAAAUACAUGCAUUAUAUCCAAAAGAGUGACAAUAGGUACAAAAUCCACACUCCAAUUUUAAACACCAAUAUCUUUCUUAUAAAACUCCAAAUCAUCCAAAAUUUAUAUCAAAACCAUUGCAAAAAACCUAAAUUUUUUGAUCCUAGCUUCCUAAGUUCAAAUAUCCAAAGAGUAAUCUUAAUUCCU